rnacentral:lncRNA from 1 species
GUGCCCUUCAGUUCUGGAAGAAAAAGCCUGAUUACUGCUGAAUCACAGAGGCCAGGUGGAGUCCUGAGAGGACUAACUCUCAAAAGACCCCAGCAGACUGGUGCUCUCAUCAACGACCUUGGGAGCCAAUUACAGACCAGAGUUCCCAAGGCCCCAGGUCUCCAGGGGCCUGAUUUCAAGAAGGGCCCGUUUGUGGUGGUGGCCUGUGUGCCCUGCCGGGCUGCGCUGACGCGUCUUCAAGGUCGAGGUGUCCGAGCAGGCUGUCACCACCGACUUCACUAGACCUGCGCUUGGCGGGCCUCUCAUUUCUUUUUUAAACAAACAGCACAGAUGCGGACCUUAGCUUGGCUCGUGCCAUAACUGCUCAUUCUGAACGUAGAGGAGUCGGUCUGGAGAAAGCAAACACAGUGCUCGACGGUGGCCCUGCAAAGCCCUGCCUUGUUUGACGUCACCCUUCCCUGGCUCCUGUCAACCCCAGGACCAUUCCCAGGCUCAGAGGAGAGGCAGGGCCUCCCUGACAUCUGAACUGGAUAGUCCCCAGCUAGGGAGUGAGGCCUGGGUAAUGGGGUGGGGUCCCACAGGACUGUGGGAUCCUGCGCGAUCCACAGCCCUCAGACCAAGGCAGGCAGGCAGGCAGUGCCCGGUGCCCCGCAGGCUGUCCUUGGUGUCUGUGGGCCUCUGAGUUUCUGGUCCUGCAGCAUUGGCCCUCUGGAUUCCAGCUGGCCUCCCGUCCUCCCCAGCGUGGAGGUGGGCAGUGUGUUGCUCCCUUUCCUGCUACAGCUGCACGCCGUCCCUCUUUUAUGCCUUCAGGUCAGGAACUACGGGUUCAGUAGAGCAGUGCUCCAUCCUACCCACUAAGGCGGAAGACGCUGACCUGAGCCCAGUGCGGUGGCACACGCCUCAACGCCAGCUGCCGAAGCAGGAGGACCGCAGCUUAAGGCCAGCCUUGGCAACUUAGCCUCAUCUUGUCUUGAAAUAAAAUGGUGGGCUGGGGACGCAGCUCCGGGGUAAAGUAUCCUUGGGUUCCAUCUCUAGUACUGCAACAAAACAAAGAAAAACUGACAUGUGUUUCUCUUUACAUAUUGCAGGGAUUUUUACUUAAUUCUAAAAUUAAAAAAUUAAAGAACUUAAAAUAAUCUUGAGGAAAUAGCCAGCACCCAGCCCUCCACCCACUGUCCACCCUCCUGCAGUAUUGGUCUCUGUAGGAGCUGGCCAGGUCCUGGGAUGCCAGAUGGGCUUGUGCACUGCAGGGCCCUGUUUGGCUACCUCCCAGGGAGCCUGGGGGUCCAGCAGUUCAGAUAGAGCCUCCAGUUUUGAUCCCAUUUGAGACCAAACCUCCACCAGAGCUGGCUGUGUGCAGCCCCACCCUGCCUCCCGUAAGCCCUUCCAGAGCCAGGUACAGGCCUGACUCCUCCACUCCCAGCCCCCCACUGUCCUGGUCCCUGCUCUUGGGCACUGUCACAGAGUUGCUGCCAGUGUGCCUUUCUUCUCGGGAUUUCAAGACUUGGUGACCCCAUUCUGAAGGACCCUUGAAGCUCAGGAGAUGGGUGUCCCUUCCCUCUUGAUCAAGAGCCUACCAACUGGUCCAGACCCCACUGGGCUGGCGUCUCGUUGGGAGGUAUCCAGACUGGGUCCCAAGCUAGCAGCGUGCUCCUGCAGGGGCGCACCUAACUGAAUGAGCACCUGCCCCUGGAAGGGAUCGUCACCAGCCACAAGGAUACUUACAGUGGAUAAAGUGAAAUUUAACUAGAGAUUGGUCCUGAGGCUUCCUUCCCAUGAACAAUUGUUACGUUUUCUAAACCAUCUAGUUAUUACUUAACAGGGAUACAGGAAGAGAGUGGUUUAUUCAGGCCCAGAUUUAAGUAAAGUCUCUGUUAACAUUGGUUUUAUGUUGUAUUCAAUAGGCAUCAGGAGGCUUGUAGCAGAAAAUCCAUAGAAUGAUUUAAUCUCCCACAAAUUGAGAAUUUAAAUAAGUGACAGAAGUUUUAUACUUUUGAAUAUACACCUGUGUAGCUUUUCUGCUUGGUUGCAAACAACAGCAAGGUGAUUUCUGACUUGAAACAUUGGACUUAUUCCCUCAUAGUUCAUCAGCCCCCGUCUUUUCAUGCAAAAUAGCAAAGGGGGUGCUUCUAAAAAGUGGUGUCAGUAAGAAAUUUUCAUUUCAUUUUAUUCAUUCAUUCAUUGAGCCCAGGUUCUCAUGCAUGAGAGUUAAAUGCUCUACCACUGAGCUCCAGGCCCAGCCCUAUAUAUCUGGAAUAUCACCAUUGUGGGGUGCCGCGCUGAAAGACCCCGCCUUCCAGCCCUAAGCACAAGGCUCUGACCAGUUACUACAUUUCGUAGUGACUUGGGGCAUUGUCCCCACUCGGACGACAGCAAGGCAUGUCUUCAGGUGUAGGCAUCACUGCGGGGGGGGGGGGGUGCUGAGCUACACUUCUCUGUUCCUUUGUAACCCUACUUCUUUUCUCAUUUGAAUGACUUCUUCCCAGUAAAAGGGUUCAGCAUGUGCACCUCUCUCUUUCCACAGACCCCUAAGGUCAGAGCAGCCGUUGUCACAGGACCCAAAGAAAAAGGUAUUUCUCUGUCUCUGUGCCAUUAUUUUGUGCCAGCCCAGUUCACCUAGAGUGCCCUGAGUGUUUAGUCGUGGGACGCGACACACCGUGUUGCCCAGAUUGGUCUCAAACUCUGGGGUACAAGUGAUCUUCUUGCCUCAGUCUCCUGAGUAGCUAGACCUACCACCCAGCUCUAAUUUUCAUUUUCUUUUUCAGGGUGGUGCCAAAGGUCAAUUAUAGAGUUUUACAACCAGGUGGUGCAACGUAAGUAGUUGCAGAGGUUUGGGGAGGACACAUGCAGUGACCACCCUCUCCAAUCGGGAAUCAGCUGCUGUGAGUGGGUGGACAGGUUGUGGACUGCGCGAUUCCAUUCCUCCAUGCCCAUCAGAGUCCACACCUGGAUGGGCACAUGGAUCGCCCUGUGGGAACUUUCUCGGUUUCCCUUCACUUCAGUGCUCCCAGCUGACCAGGGCAAGCAGACCCUGCAGGCGGAGAUCCUCCUGCCUGGGAUCUGAUGUUCCUGCUCCGCUCUGUACUCUUCACUUGACCCCUGGGACUCCUUCCACCUGCCCUCCUGCCGUACCCCGGCCUAGGGCCUUUGCACAGCUGUGCCUUCAGCCUGGAACACGGCUACCACUGGGCAGCUCCUGCUUCUGUCUGGUCUCUGCCCCAAGGUCGUUGUCUUGGUGAGCUCACCCUCACCUGCCUGAGGAAAAGGGCUGCUCCACCCCCAGCACACAUCCCCCUUUUAUCUUAUCUUGGGGAUCUAACCCAGGGGUGUUUGUUCUUUUUAACCACUGAGCUACAUCUGCAGUCCUUCGUUACUUUGUUUUGUUUUUUUGAGACAGGGUCUUACUAAGUUGCUGAGGCUGGCCUCAAACUUGCCGUCCUGCCGCCUCAGCUUCCCAAGUGGCUGGGAUUACUGGCAUGUGCCACUGCAGCAGGCAGCACUCAGCCAUCUUCUAAGUGCACUGUUCAGCAUUAAGUCAUUCACACUGUUGUGUGGCUGUCACCUCCAGCCAGCUCCCCAGCUAAAGCUCUGUCCCUAAGCCCUGGCCCUCCAGCCCCUCCCCAGCUGAAGAUGUGUCCCUAAGCCCUGGGCCUCCGGCCCCUCCCCAGCCCUGGCUCCCACCUUCUGCUUCUCGUCUCCAUGCCUUGGCUCCUCCAGGGACCUGGCAGCCUCUGUCUGGCUCAUUUCACUCUGUGACCCUCGAGGUCCUCCAUGUCAGGAUCCCCUUCCUCCCCAGGGCUGAGUGACCCCACUGUGGUCCUGCCCAGCGUCUUUUUCCUGAUGCCCCUUUGCCUUGCCUGCCAGCAGGCCACUCCACUUCCUGUUUUGCUCCACCCGCCUUUGUGGGUCUGUUCAUCAGAGUACCAGGCCUGUCCCCAACGUGGCCUCAAUGACUCGAGUGAGGGAGGAGUGCUUUAGGCCCUUUGUAUGGCCAGACUUCCUUCCCUAAGGUUGUGCCCACGUUCCUUUGCCAGGCUGAGGACAGCACUGGGGGAUGCCUCCCAGGGCAUGCAUGGUGCUGGGGGGUCUCCUUCCUCCUCCUGGUCCUCAUGCAUGUGGUGGACAAGCAGCAGCUCGCUUUGGACUCGCGUGUCCUUGAGGACAGGUGUCAGGCAGCCUCCCAAGCAGUGAAGCUUUGCAAAGGCGCCUCAAGCCGCGGCGGCAGUCGGCAGCCUGGGAGAGCUGUGGAGCAGGAGUCUUUCCAGCGUUUCCCCAGCUGCUGGUUCCCCCUCCAGCAGACAUGGCUCCUAGAAGACUGAGAACCUUCUGGAAUCCCAGCUGCAUUGGACUGUGACAGAGAAUGGGGGAAGGGACUCAAAAUGGUUGUCCAGACUAUGUGGAGGAAGCGUGUCCACACUCCAUCUGUGGCCCACUUUGCAAUAAUGGACCCUUGGGGAGGCCCUGGGGCAGACUGGAUGGUCAGGGGACACCUAACCUGUGGUGGGGUCACCAGGAGGGGUGAAAGCCAGCUCUGCCAUCAGCAGUGGACACAAUAGUGCCACCUCUACGUGUGGUCCCUUCCUACAGAGACGUUGUCCAUGUCGUCUUGGUGGCCAGGGUCUUUGGGGAGAGGGGAAUGAGUGCCACCCAGACUGAGGUCGGGGUGACUCUCCCCCCAGGACGUGAACCAAGAGGUGAGGCACUCCCAACCUAGGGAUAGUCCUCCCUACCGGGACCAGGGCCUACCCACCACCCCAGCUCAGAGGGAGGGCAACAUCUGCCUGCUGUGUGGUCACCCCAGGCUGGACCUGAGGAGACCCCUGGCCUUCCCUGGGGAUAUUAGUCCUCAGCCACCUCCCUCGCUUGGGGUUGCAUCAGGAAGGACGUCCGGGGCUGGUGGGCAGGCUGCCAGCAGAGCUUGGAACCAGCUCCUGAGUUAGGCUGGCUCCCAGCUUCUUGCAGCCGAGGGCAUGUCCUGAGUUCAGGUGGAAGUGCUGGCGGCACCUGUGUCAAGUCUGGAAGUGGGUCCGGGAAGCACAGGAAGCCAGACCUGAGCUCUGCUGGCCCCGCAGGUCCCUGACCCAGAGCUGCCCCUGGGGCCACCUGCAGGAGGGCAGCCGUGGCAAGCUGCACCAAGCCGGGGGCUCUCCUUCAGACUCAUGGCAGAGACCCCCGGGGGCUGGCAUCUGGGUCAGCCAGUGGGAUCCUGAGUGACACCUGUGACUUCAGGAAGUGUCCACAGAGAAGGGGGCUCCUGUCCUUGAUCCCGUCCUGUGUGGUGGAGGCCCUGCAGCUGGUCUCAACGCCCCCACCCCCCCAUCACUGGUAGGAUCGCUGUUGGAGGGAGAGAUGGCCAGGUAGAGAGGUGUCAGGUUUCUGCUGUGGUGGAGCUGCCUGUCGGCCUUGUCCUGCAGGCCUCUGGACUGUGACCAGAGAAAUGCACUUCUCUAACAAAGGAAGUCCUUGCCCUCGGGGCCUUCUGUCACUUGCAGAGGAACCAAACAGUGUCCAGGCCACGAUGCUCUUGCACACUGAAGGCUCUGAGAGGUCCUGCAAAUAGGAGCCAAGGAUGUUUCACCCAACUGGCAGAAGGAGUCGGCUAGACGGCCCACUGCACCGCUCUUUACUGCCUAGGGGUCCCUUUGUUCAGAGGAGCAGUGUUGGGGGCAACAGCUUCACACAGAAGGAAAUUGCUGCUCUUACCAAUUAUCACAUCUCAAAGCACAAUUUCUAGAGAACUUAGUUCAUAAUGGUUGGUUGGAGAUUUUCUGGCUUCCUAAACAUAUUAAAUUGUCAGAAAUAGAUACUGUGAAAUCUCACACCCAGUAGCUUUUUAGACAAUCUACCUCAAAUAGGAAUGCUCCCUGCAGAGGUAAACUCUAGUCCAGUCGCAGGAUGACUGUCCAUGUGGUGCGUGGAGCCUGAGAUGCUCGAACCCAUGAGGAGGGGCAAGCAGGCAGAAACAGACGGCAUGGCACUGCCAACUGAGGAACUGUCACAGGGCGCUCCUGCUGUCCCUGUGGACGUGGGAACUGGGGCAGCUUGCCUAAGAACCCCC